ensembl:snRNA U6 U6 spliceosomal RNA
GGUCCUCCAUGUGCUCACUUCCCUGUUCUGAAAUUGGAGUGACAGAGGAAGAUCAGCAUGAACUCUGUACAAGGAUGACAUGCAAAUUCGUGAAGCGUUCCAGGUUUUU